rnacentral:rRNA from 1 species
AACCUCCGCAAUGUGAGAAAUCGCGACGGGGGGAUCCCAAGUGCCAUUCUUAACGGGAUGGCUCUUCAUUAGUGUAAAGAGCUUUUGGAAUAAGAGCUGGGCAAGACCGGUGCCAGCCGCCGCGGUAACACCGGCAGCUCUAGUGGUAGCAAUUUUUAUUGGGCCUAAAGCGUCCGUAGCCGGUUUAAUAAGUCUCUGGUGAAAUCCUGUAGCUUAACUGUGGGAAUUGCUGGAGAUACUAUUAGACUUGAGACCGGGAGAGGUUAGAGGUACUCCCAGGGUAGAGGUGAAAUUCUGUAAUCCUGGGAGGACCGCCUGUUGCGAAGGCGUCUAACUGGAACGGUUCUGACGGUGAGGGACGAAAGUUAGGGGCGCGAACCGGAUUAGAUACCCGGGUAGUCCUAACUGUAAACGAUGCGGACUUGGUGUUGGGGUGGCUUUGAGCUGCUCCAGUGCCGAAGGGAAGCUGUUAAGUCCGCCGCCUGGGAAGUACGGUCGCAAGACUGAAACUUAAAGGAAUU